rnacentral:rRNA from 1 species
UACGAAGGGGGGCUAGCGUUGCUCGGAAUUACUGGGCGUAAAGGGCGCGUAGGCGGCGCUGCAAGUCAGGCGUGAAAGUCCUGGGCUCAACCUGGGAACUGCGCUUGAUACGGCAGAGCUAGAGGAUGGAAGAGGCUCGCGGAAAUUCCCAGUGUAGAGGUGAAAUUCGUAGAUAUUGGGAAGAACACCGGUGGCGAAGGCGGCGAGCUGGUCCAUUACUGACGCGAGGCGCGACAGCGUGGGGGAGCAA